AACGAACGCUGGCGGCAUGCCUAACACAUGCAAGUCGAACGAGACCUUCGGGUCUAGUGGCGCACGGGUGCGUAACGCGUGGGAAUCUGCCCCUUGGUUCGGAAUAACUUCGGGAAACUGAAGCUAAUACCGGAUAAUGACGUAAGUCCAAAGAUUUAUCGCCAAGGGAUGAGCCCGCGUAGGAUUAGCUAGUUGGUGGGGUAAAGGCUCACCAAGGCGACGAUCCUUAGCUGGUCUGAGAGGAUGAUCAGCCACACUGGGACUGAGACACGGCCCAGACUCCUACGGGAGGCAGCAGUGGGGAAUAUUGGACAAUGGGCGAAAGCCUGUUCCAGCAAUGCCGCGUGAGUGAUGAAGGCCUUAGGGUUGUAAAGCUCUUUUACCCGGGAAGAUAAUGACUGUACCGGGAGAAUAAGCCCCGGCUAACUCCGUGCCAGCAGCCGCGGUAAU
rnacentral:rRNA from 1 species